rnacentral:rRNA from 1 species
AUACGGAGGGUGCAAGCGUUGUUCGGAAUCACUGGGCGUAAAGGGCGCGCAGGCGGUUUGGUAAGUCAGAUGUGAAAGCCCAUGGCUCAACCAUGGAAGUGCAUUUGAAACUGUCAGACUUGAGUACUAGAGGGGAAAGUGGAAUUCCCGGUGUAGAGGUGAAAUUCGUAGAUAUCGGGAGGAAUACCGGUGGCGAAGGCGACUUUCUGGCUAGAUACUGACGCUGAGGCGCGAAAGCGUGGGGAGCAAACAGUAUUAGAAACCCUAGUAGUCC